CAUGCGUGGUAGAAGAGCAUUUCAAUUGCAGUGAAGGUGGACCCGUGAGGGCCACUGGAGCGAUUGGAAGAGAGAAUGUUGGCACUAGUAACCGCAAGCAGAGUGAAAGUCUCUGCCGCCGAAAACCCAAGGUUUCCUCAGCAAUGGCAAUCAACUGAGGGUUAGUCGGUCCUAAGGCAAUGGCGAAAGCCGCAACCGAUGGACAGCAGGUUAAUAUUCCUGCACUAGCUUUUGAUCCGAUGGCGUGACGAAGCGCAGUAUGCCAAGCGCAUUAUGGAUUUGACGUUUAAAGCAUAAGAAAUAUCGGCAGGGAAAUCCGCCGAUGGGGGUAAAGCCCGAUUUCAAGUGUUGUGAAAAUUGCUUGCCGCAAGGCUGGCAAAAUUUGGUAAAGCGCGCUUCCAAGAAAAUCGUCUAGGUCCGCCGCAAGGCGGAAAGCAAAAGUUAACCGUACCGAAAACCGACACAGGUGGGUUAGUGGAGAACACUAAGGCGAACGGGUGAGUCCUCGUUAAGGAACUCGGCAAAAAAGUUCCCCCCACCACUUUAAGCAAAAUUCGAAUGUGCGAUGGUGUAGUUUAUUUCUCUACCACCUUCAGCAUUUAAGGAUUGUGAUUAAAGUGGUGGGGGGCGCAGCGAAAGUACCCCUGGCGACUGUUUACCAAAAACACAGCUCCCUGCAAACUCGCAAGAGGAUAUAUAGGGGGUGACGCCUGACCAAUGCGAGAAGGUUAAGCGUCCUUGUCGUGCGUUGUUUACUCAGUGCACGGCUCUGGGCGCCAAGCCCUCGUCAAUGUCCGCGGUAACUAUAACCGUGUUAAAGUAGCGCAAUUCCUUUUCGGGUAAGUUCCGAAGCGCACGAAAGGCGUAACGACUGGGGGACUGUCUCAACGAGGAGCCCGGUGAAAAUACAAUUCCGGUGAAGAUGCCGGAUACCUGUGGUUAGACGAAAAGACCCCGGGAGCUUUACUGUAGCUUGAUAUUGGGUCUAGUGUGCUCAUGCGUAGCAUAGAUGGGAGACUUUGAGGUUCGGGUUCCGGCCCGAACGGAGUCGUCAGUGAAAUACCAUUCUUGAGCUUGCUAGUUUCUAACCGGUCGGAGAUCCGCAAGGUAAACCCGACUGGGACAGUGUCUGGCGGACAGUUUGUGUGGGGCACAUUCCUCCCAAAGAGUAAUGGAGGAGUUUAUCAAGGUCGGCUUGGGGCGGAUGGAAAUCGCGCUGGACCUAUAAAGGGAAAAGCCGGCUUGACUGCAAGGCGGAUAUGCCGCGCAGGUGCGAAAGCAGAACUUAGUGA
rnacentral:rRNA from 1 species